CUUAUUGGUUGUUGAAUAAAGCACUUCUCAGCCAAUGAGGCAGAAAGAUAGGUGGAACUAAGAGUCAAGGAGGAUUCUGGGAAAUGUAGUAAGAGAAGUCUUGUGAUCCAGGCAAGAAGUGACAUAGCAGGCAGACUCAGAAUAUAAGCAUAGAUAAACAGGAAGUUGCCCUCUUCCUCUUCCUCCUGCUCUCUGCUCUGGAACCACCAUGUGACCACCAGGAAGACAGGAUGCAAGGAUGACUGGAAUAUACGCACAGAGAAAUGUUCACAGGACUUUAUUCAUUUACAGAACUGCAAAUCUCUACCAUCAAAAUCUCACAGAAAAGAACUUUGAAAUAAUCUUCAGCCAAGCAGUCACCACCACAUACCUUUAAUCCCAGCACUCGGGAGGCAGAGGCAAGCGGAUCCCUGUGAGUUUGAGACCAGCCUGGUCUACAAGAGCUAGUUCCACGACAGGCUCCAAAGCUACACAGAGAAAUUCUGCCUUGAAAAACCAAAACCAAAAAUAAAAGAAAUAAUUUUCCACUCUGUAAAAUAUGCCUUCCUGCUACUCAGACCAAGAAACACGGGAAAUUAUCCACUGGUAACUUAGAAAAGAGAAAAUAAAUGGCAAAAAAAUUAAAACCAUUUUGAAAAGGGUAAGACACAAGGAUUGGAAAAUGAGGCAUUGAGAAAAAUAUUCCUGGGAAAUUACAA
rnacentral:lncRNA from 1 species